rnacentral:rRNA from 1 species
GACGAACGCUGGCGGCGUGCUUAACACAUGCAAGUCGAACGGAAAGGCCCUGCUUUUGUGGGGUUCUCGAGUGGCGAACGGGUGAGUAACACGUGAGUAACCUGCCCUUUACUUUGGGAUAACUUCAGGAAACUGGGGCUAAUACCGGAUAGGAUCUCCUGCUGCAUGUUGGGGGUUGGAAAGUUUCGGCGGUUGUGGAUGGACUCGCAGCUUAUCAGCUUGUUGGUGUGGUAGUUGCUUACCAAGGCUUUGACGGGUAGCCGGCCUGAGAGGGUGAACGGCGACAUUGGGCCUGAGAUACGGACCAGAAUCCUACGGGAGGCAGCAGUGGGGAAUAUUGCACAAUGGGCGGAAGCCUGAUGCAGAAACGCCGCGUGCGGAAUGACGGCCUUCGAGUUGUAAACAGAUUUCGAAUGUGACGAAGAGUGAGUGACGGUAAUGGGUAAAGAAGCACCGGCUAACUACGUG